rnacentral:rRNA from 1 species
ACGUAGGGGGCUAGCGUUGUUCGGAAUUACUGGGCGUAAAGGGCGCGUAGGUGGCCUUCUUAGUCAGACGUGAAAUCCCCGGGCUUAACUCGGGAACUGCGUCCGAUACUGGUUGGCUUGAGUUUGGGAGAGGGAUGCGGAAUUCCAGGUGUAGCGGUGAAAUGCGUAGAUAUCUGGAGGAACACCGGUGGCGAAGGCGGCAUCCUGGACCAAUACUGACGCUGAGGAGCGAAAGCCAGGGGAGCAAACGGGA